GCGAUCGGUUGCCAACGUCUUUU
rnacentral:siRNA from 1 species